rnacentral:sRNA from 1 species
CUUGGUCAUUUAGAGGAAGUAAAAGUCGUAACAAGGUUUCCGUAGGUGAACCUGCGGAAGGAUCAUUAGUGAAUAUUAGGACAUCGCUUCGGCGAGUUCGACCCUCCACUUUUCAACUCUGUGCAUUUAUUGGCGGAAUCGAGCGAGCAAUCGUGAAGUUCUGCGUCUCAUUUUUAAACACUAGUCAAAGUAUGUAACGAAAUAUCGAAAUAAAAAAAACUUUCAACAACGGAUCUCUUGGCUCUCGCAUCGAUGAAGAACGCAGCGAAAUGUGAUAAGUAAUGUGAAUUGCAGAAUUCAGUGAAUCAUCGAAUCUUUGAACGCACCUUGCGCUCCCUGGUAUUCCGGGGAGCAUGUCUGUUUGAGUGUCAUGAACUCUUCAACCCACCAGUUUCUUGUAGACUGAUUGGUGUUUGGAUUUUGAGCGCUGCUGGUCUUCGGAUCUAGCUCGUUCGUAAUAUAUUAGCAUCUCUAAUUCGACUUCGGAUUGACUCAGUGUAAUAGACUAUUCGCUGAGGACACACCUAGUGUGGCCGAACGUUGAUCUCAGUAGAAGCUUCCAACUAUUGUAGUCAAUUUUAGAUUAGACCUCAGAUCAGGCAGGAUUACCCGCUGAACUUAAGCAUAUCAAUAAGCGGAGGAAAAGAAACUAACAAGGAUUCCCCUAGUAACGGCGAGUGAAGCGGGAAGAGCUCAAAUUUGUAAUCUGGCACUUUCAGUGUCCGAGUUGUAAUCUCGAGAAGUGUUUUCCGCGCCGGACCGCAUACAAGUCUGUUGGAAUACAGCGUCAUAGUGGUGAGAGCCCCGUAACUGAUGCGGAUGCCCGGUGCUUUGUGAUACACUUUCGAAGAGUCGAGUUGUUUGGGAAU